UUUUAAUCUUGACUUGAUUAGAUAAAGAUCUGGUACAUGAAGUCAAACAGCAUUAUACUGUAUCAGUCACAAUUCUGCUGUUGUAUUAUUUAUAUUUUGGUUGUACCAGAAGUAAAACCUAUAGUCACAGUCCACCACUCAUGCCACGCUGUGCGUCCCCGCGUGUGGACUUCCUGUUUUAUUUUGAAAUCCGAUCCCAUUUGUCCGUCGUCAGUUCCACUUCUGCUCUUUGUUCGUCUCCUGUGUCCUGUCAGUCAAUCAGUCCCCGUGUGUUUGUACCUCUGUUUCCACCUGGCGCUGUUUUGUCUUUCACUGCGAGUUCCUGCGUCUCUCUGGUUUGACUUCCUGCGGACUCUUGAUUCCUGCGGGCGGCUUCUCUGGAUUUGUUUGGCUGCUAGUUGGACUUCUGGAUCUGACCUGGGCCUUCCUCAAACCCACAUCUGAGACGAGGAGGAAGAGGAAGAGGAGGAGGAGACGAGGGGAGUGUGAGAGGUUUUGGUCUCAUCCCGGAGAGGACGUUACCCCGCAACAGUCGAAUCGAUCCGGCUCUAUGCCGCAGGAGAUGUCCAGCGGAGGGAUGGACGGAUGGAUUGUGGUGCACGGAGAGAAGGAGACGUGGAGAAGAGAAGAAGAAGAGGAGGAAGGAGAAGAGUGUCGGGCUCCUGAACACAGUGAGUCAACGUCCCCCCCGAGGAGCUCGGCUCCACACGCUGAAGGUGAACAUGUUGUUGCGCCGUGUGUCUCAGACUCUCUGUCUCCGGCGGUGUCC
rnacentral:lncRNA from 1 species